rnacentral:miRNA from 1 species
AGAUGCUAUACAAAUGUGGAGU